AGCAAGUAGGCGGCGUGUAUACUACACCAAGGAGCGAUACAAGGCAUGAAGCAAGCAAGCGAGCAGGUGUACACAGCGACCUGCUACUGCACUAAUAGCCUUGACAGAGCACCGGGGCCGGCUCGACAGGGCAUUUGGCCGCCGGCGGACCCUGGAUGUGCGCGAUGGAGAUGAACCCCACGUCGUCGUCUCUGCAGCCUGGAUAGAGCUCCGUCAGUGCUGAGUGUUCUCCCAUCAUUGUUGGAUGUCGAAUUUGCAAGGCAAUCCGUCUCUAUGUCGAUGUCUUAACCACUUCGUACUUCCGCACAAUUAGCAGAACAGAGCAGUUGCCACAAUUUACCCAUUGAUUUCUUGGACUGAUUCAGACCUAGGAAAGCCUGCUACUUGUGCAAGCAACAGGGUAAGAAGUUUCAGUUUUCUUACUAAUGCACCUCAAUUUGUAAGGUUAGAACAAUGUCAGUUUGCUUUAUGUUUGUUUUCUAAUUUCUACGUAUUCCUUUCUUACAUACUCUGCCUUCAAGCAAAUCUUAUCUAGGUAGUAUGGAAAGCAGACAAAUUAUGUAACUAUUUCUGUUUUCUCAUGCUCUGCUAUGUCAGAUUGAGGAGAAAGAAUUAUUUUAUUCACCUAUCCUAUUUUUUAUCUAUAAUGAUGUCAUUUUUCCAUCUCGCGAUUUUUGCUCCAGUUGUGCUAAUACUUUGUGUGCACUUCAGCGGGAAUGAAAUUUUCUUGCUACCAUGUGUCAUGGUAGUAGGUUGCUGCGGCAAAAAACUGAAACCACUUCAACUAGCCUAGGACCAUCUCUGGUCCGACGCGCGAGGCGCCUACCGAGUGCCUCCCCAGCUUAACGGUCCCAAACCCAAGGUGAGUCCCUCUUCCACCCAUCCAUCCUUGCAUGUUGUCGCUGUCGGAUACGGGAGGCCGCCGAUUGCGUCGCUAGGCCAGACUAGAAGUGAAGCUUGCCUUUGAGUUUUAGGUUGGAUGGUGAACUCGGUAGCUUAUAGAUUGUGGUUGUCCUUUUUGAUCAGUGUAUUGAUGCAGUUGCGCCACUAUAUAUUGUUUUCCUGCAAGUGGUCUUUGGGUCGGUGAACAUUAAAACAUUGUCAGAAGGAUGGAAUCAGUAAUAAUAUUGAUCCUUGCUUGGUGUCAGAUUACUUCAGGUGACAACGGGUGUAGCUUGCUAACUAUUUUAUUGUCAGUUCCUCACUCACGGAUGUCUCGGGCUGUUGAUUUUUUCAGGCUUAUUCUGGACAUAGAUUUAUCCUGUUCAUAUGUUUAAAUAAAAUAGUUAAAGUUCAUGUCUAUGCUUCGUAUGAAAUAAAAUAUGGGAUGUGCUUUUGAAUCUGCAAUAUUU